GUGGCAAGUGGAACGAGUUGGCGUCCAGGCAGCAGCUGGAAGGCUCCAGCCUGUCAGUCCCUUAAUCUGAUCCCCGAGGAACAACGUGGAGGCUUCACUCUGGAUGACAAACGAGGAGGGGAGAGGCCUGCCCUGCCUGGAUGGGGCCAGGACCGUGUAAGCAAGUUGACACUGAGGGCACGUCCCUGCACCCUGUUUUAUUCCUCAGAGGGUUCGUACCCAAAUCUGGAAACCUGGCUCACCUUGAAAGAUCAUCUCAAGUUAACUACAGGAUCUGAAAGCAAGAAGAAUGGGAAGUAUCAAUAAGGGAAUAUCUACUAGGUGAGAGGAGGGGAAAUGUAACCGAUAGUAGAAAUCGAAGGCAUUAAAGGAGGAAUUUCAAAGAAACAGCUGACAGCAAGCGUGAGAGAAGAGCAAGAAAACGUAUGAAGGAUCACGAAAAAGACAAAAGGUCAGGAGGAGAGAGGAAACAGGCAGGGUUGUGAUAGUCAAAAUUUUGCAUAUGUUCACUUAAAAGGUUUAUAAUUGACAUGGCUUCAUAUUGAAAGGUGUCCAUCAUGUUUAAAUGGUCAGAAAGGUGGAAUUUGGGGCAUGUUGUACAUAUAAGCACUUUCAAUAAA